GCGGGAGUAGCUAAGCCUGGCCAAAAGCGCAGGACUUAAGAUCCUGUCUCGAAGGAGUCCGGGGGUUCAAAUCCCCUCUCCCGCA
rnacentral:tRNA from 1 species